rnacentral:rRNA from 1 species
UAAGACGUAGGGCGCGAGCGUUGUCCGGAUUUAUUGGGCGUAAAGAGCUCGUAGGCGGCUCGUUGCGUCCAUCGUGAAAACUCAGGGCUUAACUCUGAGCUUGCGGUGGAUACGGGCGGGCUAGAGUUCGGUAGGGGAGUCUGGAAUUCCUGGUGUAGCGGUGAAAUGCGCAGAUAUCAGGAGGAACACCGAUGGCGAAGGCAGGACUCUGGGCCGAUACUGACGCUGAGGAGCGAAAGCGUGGGGAGCAAACAGGAUUAGAUACCCUGGUAGUCCACGCUGUAAACGUUGGGAACUAGGUGUGGGGUGCCUCUCCGGUGUCCUGUGCCGCAGCUAACGCAUUAAGUUCCCCGCCUGGGGAGUACGGCCGCAAGGCUA